ensembl:ncRNA T01C1.5 ncRNA
UAGAUUUGCUUUUUGCUCCCUUCCUUUUUCUUCACUUGUCCGGGAGGACCUACCACCAUCGUUAUUCCCAACGGCAAUUUUAGGCGUGUGAACUUUCUGCUUCUCAUCGUACAACCUCUUUAAUGUUUUCUUUCCAUCUGAUGUAUC